AAAAGAGAGGGACAGAGUGCUCUCUUUUUCCUCCUCUCGCAUCUCCUUGUUUCCACCCCGACUGGCGGCUAGGGUUCCCGUCGGCGCCGCCACAGCCGCCGCUACCAUCCUUGCUCCGCCAUCUAUGGCCACCAGAGAAGGCGCCCUUCUGAGACCCGCUCUUGUUCAAACCUUCUCGUCUUGGCGUCAAGGCGUGCUAUUCUGCCUGGCUGCCUUGGUGGUUGCAGAUGAGGGGGAGGAAGGGAUGGCAUCGAGGUGUCGAUGGAGGCCCUAGCUCGAGGCGGCGAGAUGCAGAGAUGCGGGGUGGUGCGGAUGGAGAGGCAGCUUCAGAUCCGCGCGCAGCCGCCCGCACUCUCCUUCCUCCGCCGCCUUCCCUGUGGUCAGCUCCGUCUUCUCCCCGCCCUCCAUCCUCAUGUGUUCAGCAGCAACCCUAGGAGGAGCUCGAGCCACAUCGGUGAAUGUUCUCUGCUAGGUUUGGUGCUACUACUCCGUCUUCGAUCCCAACCAUCUCGCACGUUCCCGAGAUCGUCGUCUUCCUGGCCGGGACCCCUGUUUCCCAAUCGUAGAUUUUACUGAUGAAAUAAAUACGUCGAAAGGGGAUUGGACAUGUUACUGACUAAGGAGAUAGCGCCAAACUUUUGUAUUGAUUAUGUUGCUAUUUUCAUACUUCAGUCAAGUUCUUGCCUUAUGUGAUGGGCAGGUUAGUUUACACUUCCUGAAUGCCUCUGUAUUCUGUUAUGGCACUAUUAAAACUUCUAUCCCAUAGGGCACACAACAUUCAGAGGGAAAUUUGUCUGUUCUUAAUACCUUGCUUGUCCAUACGACUAUUGGCUUUUGUUGCCUGUGUAGUAUGUUUUAAGUGUUUGUAAAUCAUAUAUAUUCUGUAAAUUGUAUAUUUUUUAAUAUUAAGGAACCCAAUUUUUGCGUCUCCAAUUGUAAAACUGACUCUCUCUGGAAUUAGGAGAUUAACUCAUUAUAUGCACAAUUUAACUUCUAAAUUAAUCUCCUUUUACAUGUGGUUUAAUUUCAAAAUACACGCAGUGUAGAUACGACUAAAUAUGUAUUGCACACAAUGGAAAAUAUUUGAUAUCAUCGAUUUCUUUGGAUGGGAUUGACAUUUGGGAGAUGCUACACCAUUGGUAAUGACGACGCUUCAGCAACUUACUUAGAUUAUUGUAAUUUCCAAGCAUUCAGUUAUCCUUCCAUAUAUCAUUCUGUACGCUUUGUGCCCGUUGACCAAUUAUUUGGCCUACAGGCCUACCGUGAGUGUCCCACACCUAUUUAGUAGUGUCCCUUCUGCUUACAUAUUGCAAGCAUAGUUCUUAACAGUCCACUUAUUCUUGCUGAAUGACAGGUUUGUAAUUCAUGGCAUUUGGCGCAUCUGCGCUUAAAUUCUUGCUGGAAUGGUAAACAACGAUUCCAUUUGGUACAUAACUGAACUUGAACACCCAUUAUGCAUCUGAUUUCUCUACACUUCAAUCAUUCAUGAUUGCUGGGAAGAUGAGUUUCAUAAUCUGCACAAGAAAUAUGAAAGAAAAGAAAGUCGGACUAGAUGUCUCCACCCACGCCUCGACUAUCAGGUUAUUCUCUGUUCUUUCUUUCCUUGUCCUCUUCUCUCUUCUAUAAAUUCAUCAAAUUUGAUUAUUCUAUUUAAGAACUAGAUAAAAUAGAAAUAUUCAUGUAUAGGACAAUCAUAUGUCCUGUUUGUCUUCAUAGUGCAGGUGAUGUAAUGCACCAUUUCACAAGUAAGAAUGGGACAAAAGCUACUACGCGCGCUCAAUAAAUUUCAUAGUUUUGGAUAGAAAAGGGGGAGCUGCAUAAGAAUUAAUUAUAGGACAGUUGUAUGUGUGGAUACAGACACAGAAGUAAGGAAUGGUAUAUGAAUGAUAUCAUAUAAAUAAAUUGGUGGGCAGAAGUUGGUCUGAUUUUAUGGGAUUAAUUAAUCCUGUAUGUGCUUGCCAAUUUUGGUUAGUAAGUACCAGGUAGCAGCUAUCUUUUCAUAAUCCUUCUACCACUUCUUGAUGCACAUAUCUUUUGCUUUCAGGUUACCAUCAACAAAAUGAAGAAAACCAACAAUUUAUUUUUGUAGUAAACGGCAAUACGAUGUGAAGGUAUUCAAGAGAAUCUGGUCUUAUUUUUCUGAUCCCUAUGGUCCCUGUGAAGCAUCAACUAUAUCAGCAUUUUGAAGCUUAGAAUGGCUAAUGCUGAUUGUUUAGAGCUUAGUUAUAAUGAUUUCUUGUGCAUCAGGUUAUAUUGUACAAGUGAUUGCAACUGAUUUAUUUUCAGAGUUAUUAUUAUUUACACGUAUAAGUUUAGGGCUGACCUUUUAUUUGUCUAUGGCAACUACAUAUCUACAUUGUUCCAUGUA